UGGUGUAAUUAAAGCUGGGCCCUCAGGAGAUGUGGCAGAGGCUUACAAUGGUGCCACCACCCUGUACAUUACUCACCUGGUGCCUGUCAGGUGACACCUCAGCGUGAACAGGAAUAUCGCCUGACACCAUAGAAACACUGUCCUCUGAUUCAGGACUCACCAAUGGGGAAGUUAAAAAUUAACCAUGGCAUUUAUGCUACCCCUACGCACACCUUCAGACUUCAGAAAUGUCUCCUGGCAGAGGCCUCUUUGGCCUGAUGGUACUGUACCCUUCAUAGAGUUAUUAUUUUAUGGUUUUAUUUUUUCACAGCAAACAGCAACACUAUUUCUGAACUGUGGCUGUUUCUACAGAAAGGCUGAGUAGUAGGGCCAAGGCUAUCUUUUGCCCAGUGUCCUGGGACUCUGGGGUAUUGUGAUAGCCCCAGAAAGUGAGCAGCCCUUCAGUGACUGGACGUUUAGAAUCUGCCUCGCCUGCCCUCCAGCUCCCCUGAGCCCCUUCUGACCAGGGUUAUGUUUACUUCCUCACAGCCACUUUUACUUCUAGAGUUGUAGCCCCAAGAAGGAUGUCAAAUAAGGGAACGAAACACCCUCCAGAGAGAUACCUCCAAAGCUCACCUAUAGAUGUCAACCUCUGCCAGUCCUUUGGGAUGAGGUCAUGAAUGCCUUUCUCCAAUGGAAAGCUUUGCCUUCUGCAGUUCGUGAGUCAGUUGUGACAUGGACAGCAUAUAGUCCUUCAACCUCAGCCUGCUCACUGGUGGGAUAUGGACCUAUUCGAGUCUGCUGCCUCAGAUAUAUGGGCUAUCAUUAUCCUAAGUGCCUGCACACCUACCCACCCCUGACCUGCCUGCCCUGCUCAGGAUUAACUCAGUCUGGAAGGCUUA